AAAAAGUAGUGUAAAAGCCCGUAGGACUUUGAUUCCUAAAGUAAAAACUAAAUGUUUUUCUUUUU
rnacentral:tRNA from 1 species